rnacentral:rRNA from 1 species
AUUGAACGCUGGCGGCAUGCCUUACACAUGCAAGUCGAACGGCAGCACGGGUGCUUGCACCUGGUGGCGAGUGGCGAACGGGUGAGUAAUACAUCGGAACAUGUCCUGUAGUGGGGGAUAGCCCGGCGAAAGCCGGAUUAAUACCGCAUACGAUCUACGGAUGAAAGCGGGGGACCUUCGGGCCUCGCGCUAUAGGGUUGGCCGAUGGCUGAUUAGCUAGUUGGUGGGGUAAAGGCCUACCAAGGCGACGAUCAGUAGAUGGUCUGAGAGGACGACCAGCCACACUGGGACUGAGACACGGCCCAGACUCCUACGGGAGGCAGCAGUGGGGAAUUUUGGACAAUGGGCGAAAGCCUGAUCCAGCAAUGCCGCGUGUGUGAAGAAAGCCUUCGGGUUGUAAAGCACUUUUGUCCGGAAAGAAAUCCUUGGCUCUAAUACAGUCGGGGGAUGACGGUACCGGAAGAAUAAGCACCGGCUAACUACGUG